rnacentral:rRNA from 1 species
CCGAACGGAUCGCAUUAUGGUCAUUUUAUAUGGCUGGCGAUAGAUCAUUCAAGUUUCUGACCUAUCAGCUUUCGACGGUAGUGUAUUGGACUACCGUGGCAGUGACGGGUAACGGGGAAUUAGGGUUCGAUUCCGGAGAGGGAGCCUGAGAAACGGCUACCACAUCUAAGGAAGGCAGCAGGCGCGCAAAUUACCCAAUCCUGACUCAGGGAGGUAGUGACAAGAAAUAACAACACUGGAAAUUUUAUUUCUAGUGAUUGGAAUGAUGGGAAUUUAAACCCCUUUCAGAGUAACAAUUGGAGGGCAAGUCUGGUGCCAGCAGCCGCGGUAAUUCCAGCUCCAAUAGCGUAUAUUAAAGUUGUUGCAGUUAAAAAGCUCGUAGUUGGAUGUCUGCUGGAAGCAAUCAGUCCGCCCUAUUUGUAGGGUGUGCACUUGAUGAAUUCUGGCAUCUAUNUCCCAAUAAUAUGAUGGUGUAUACCCUGUGUACACCCAUCUAUAUUGGGAUAAUACCGUUACUUUGAGAAAAUUAGAGUGUUUGAAGCAGGCUAAUUGCCUUGAAUACUGCAGCAUGGAAUAACAAUAUAGGAUUUCGGUUCUAUUUUGUUGGUUUCUAGGACUGAAAUAAUGAUUAAUAGGGACAGUUGGGGGCAUUCGUAUUUAACUGUCAGAGGUGAAAUUCUUAGAUUUGUUAAAGACGAACUACUGCGAAAGCAUUUGCCAAAGAUGUUUUCAUUAAUCAAGAACGAAAGUUAGGGGCUCGAAGACGAUCAGAUACCGUCGUAGUCUUAACCAUAAACUAUGCCGACUAGAGAUAGGAAAAUGUCAUUUUUCUGACUUCUCCUG